rnacentral:lncRNA from 1 species
AGUAGCUGGGACUACAGGCACAUGCCACCGUGCCCAGCUCACCUGAUGUUGAAGCACUUUCCUGGCAUUGGGAGCUGCUGGUUCAUCCUGAGGAGUCUGGGGACUGGGCCUAGUUUUACAGAUGGAGAAGCUGAGACCUAGCUCUAUUGAGUAAGUGUGUGGUUGGUUUCCUUCAAAUGCUUAAUAUUUGCAACUGCAGUGAUUUUUUUUUUCAUGUAGAAAAUCCAAAGUUUCAAUUUGGCUACAUA